CUCGUUGCGAAUUUCCGCGAUGCGUACAUUCCACUGCCUCUACUGUGCUCUCCGCCUCGGGACCACAUUCAGCUAACAGACCAUUGUCAAGGAAUACGAAUUCGGAGCAGCAAAAAUCACAAGUCAAGAAACACCUCAAACGGACUAAGUCAGUCAUGAGUGACAGCGCCCACCGCAUAAUAUACACACAUGCAGCAUGCUCGUCAUAGGAUCGAGGCUUCGCGAUAUGUGAUACAGAAUAUAUAGCCAGUGAACACUGUUCCAUUCAACGUGCAGUCCCAUACACCCGGCGCCGAGGUAGAAAUCAUAGACACGUCUAGAUUAUUGCAUGUACAGUUUAGAGCAAAAGCUUUUGGGACCAAAAGUGCUGAUAAACAUGUUUCUUCGCAGCCUAGCCAAAGAUAAGUGCCGCGCUAUGUGCACCAUUUUGCGUCGAAAUAGAAAUACUGAUACAUGCUGCGCCGAAUUGCGCCUUUUCGCGUAAGUUGCCUCACGCCUGUGCGAAGGCGCACAUGAGCGGCGUAACCUCUCACAUUCACACAAUAUGCGGGGUUGUAAUAGUUCCAAAACUUUUGGUAUGAUAUCUUUGCAACCAAGCCGAGCGGUACCUGCGGUGAUAGCAGCACGCUCGACUUCCUUGUGAUCGCAUCGGGGCCGCAUUUAAGUGCGCAAAGACGCUGAAGCGCAGGAGUUUGCCGACUUGUGUGGGUCCCUGCACGCCUGGCUUUAAACCGCAAUGGCCCUUUCGAAGCCUAAAGGUCGUCACAGCAAAUUUUAUAAUGUACAAGUUCUCAGCGAGGUUGAAGCCAGUGGAGAAACCAUCACUAGUUACUGCGCCGGAGGCAUCAAAGAAACCUUGUGCAUCUUCUGCGACGCAGUCAUUAGCUGUUCACAGCACGGAGUAACCGCGUCACGCUGCGAAUAAGCGCCACAUUGAAUGUCUGCAACCAACAAAGGAAUGUGCUGGCGAUCCUUAAGAACCCUGCUACAGUCAAAUUCAACUGUAGUCAUGUUCUCAUCUGGACCAGGACUCUCAGAAGUGGACCGCGCUUCUCGAACGGAAGCAUAUUUUGAACUUCGAGUUUCCAUGUCUGGAUACCUAUUCAUUCUGGGAUGCAGCCACAUGGAUUAUGCCGUUGAUGUCCCCUUACUCCAAAAUUGCCGGAGAGUUCCAGUGUGGGCGAAAUAAGAUUUUUCGCAUAAUAUCGGAUGGUUUAGGACCCUACCCUAAGAAAGCAGUCAUGCGAACUUAACAAGGCAAACACGUAACAUUACACGAUGUUGAAUGCUGAAACACCCCUCCCAGAAUGCUGCCAACAGCUGGACGUCAUCGUCACACACCUUUUCGGUGCACAAAAACGUGUUGUAGUUCAGGAUCUGCACUCCUUUCACUUGGGCUAUGCAACAGCAGGUAUCAUUCUAGCGCGUGUAAAAUAUCCAAACUUUGCCUCAGAGAAACAUGCUUUACAUUUGCAGUGAUGGGCCCAAUGUCAUGUUGACGUUGAAGAAACGUUUAAAUGAGGACGUAGAUCCUACUUUGCUGGAUAUGAAUCAAUGCAAUUCGCACAAAGUGCACAUAGCAAAUUUUGUAGCACCUUUACAGGCCUAAAGAAUCAAAUAAAGUGCAGUCUAGAAGUACAGAUUUCAAUUUAGUGGCUCGCUGAUAAAUUUCACGGUGAUAUUGAGUUGCAUUUUUAGUGCUGAAUAAUCUGUGACGUUGUAUUUUCAUUGUGAUAAUAAAUAUUCCUGUGACACUGUUAUAAUGUGCAAAAGAAAAACUGU